rnacentral:rRNA from 1 species
GGUAGUCCACGCCCUAAACUAUGUCAACUGGUUGUCGGGGAAGCAAUUCCUUGGUAACGAAGCUAACGCGUGAAGUUGACCGCCUGGGGAGUACGGCCGCAAGGUUAAAACUCAAAGGAAUUGACGGGGACCCGCACAAGCGGUGGAUUAUGUGGAUUAAUUCGAUGCAACGCGAAAAACCUUACCUACCCUUGACAUGCCAGGAACCUCGCAGAGAUGUGAGGGUGCCCGAAAGGGACCUGGACACAGGUGCUGCAUGGCUGUCGUCAGCUCGUGUCGUGAGAUGUUGGGUUAAG